UUUAACUUAAAGUAAACUUUUGUCAUUUAAACUUUACUAUGUUGAUCAUUACCUAAUAGUGUAAAAAAAAAAUUAGUACGUCGCAAUCAAGGAUCAGUGUCAAGUAAUGUGUUUUGCAUACUUAUGUAUUUUUUGGGUGUUCUGUGUAUUAAAACUGAAACAUAUCAUCUUUAUAUAAUAAUACGGAACUCAAUAGUAGUAGUUCCCUUUCGAGCACGUUUGACACAAAACCCAACGCAGCCAUUGCAACCGAGGUACUGGCGAGGAAGAGUCGCAGCACCUUUUUAUAAGCAAACAUUAACGAAAGUGUGUGCUAAUAACUAACUUACGUAAACUUCAAAAUGUGAAAUGUCAAAACAUACUAAAACAUGUAUCAAGUUUUUAAGUUUUACUUUCACUUGAAAACUGCAUUGCGGCAACAUCUUAAUUUUGAUCGAUGGUCGUUUUAUAAAGACUUUUAUUUACUAUAUAUUUUUAAAAUUUGUUCAAUCGUUCAUAGUGGCAUAGCUUAGUGGUCAGCUCGCUGGCAGCUGACCUGAAGAGCCAUGGUUCGAAUCCUACCUAUGGCAUGUUUUCUUUUUAAAUUCAUUUUCGAUUUUUCUAAAGUACGAAAUAAAGAUUAUGUAUAGAGAUUAUAUACUUAACAAAUGUAAAAAUAUUUUACACUUAAACAAACGAAA